rnacentral:lncRNA from 1 species
UAAGCAUUUUUUUUUCAUUAAUAUGGAGAUAUUACGAGUUUAUGGAAAAGUUCAAACUAUUCUUAAAAAGAAGUGUAGUUUAUUGAUAGACAUUUUCCCCUGGUAUUCAAAUGAAACUUAAAGCAUUGUCUCAUAUCCACAUGGCAACAAAAUGAAAUCUAGUAGGGUGCUUUCGAAUCCGAGUUAUUUAGCUCUCCAAAAUCUGUCUACCACUAAACCACUACCUCUUAAUUAGUAUAUCGUUUGUUAUGUACAAGUAAUCAUGCACCUUUUAAUCGCAGACUGUUUCUAACACUUACUAAUGAAAAGAUUGUUGCAUUAAAAUAUGUUGCAAAGAUUCAAAAUUAACAUACACAAUUACAAAAUUUAAGUCCAAGCAUAGGAAGUACAAAACUAUGUUAAACAAUUUUAAAAAGUAUGUGUUAAACAAUAUAAUUUGGAUAACAUGUCUUAAAACUUUUAAAAAUCUUAGCGUAAAUAUUUUAUUUUUGUCAUAGAUUAAUUUAACAAAAUAAUGAAGUACAAAAGCCAGCAGGAUCACUGUCCCUCCAUAGCCAAGAGCCGGCAAGGACCUAAAUCCCUCCAGAAUCAUAAAUCAGAAGGAACAAACUCUUUCUGAAACUAGGGCUCCGACUAGUGACAUGUAGUAUUAGAGUUGAAUUACAGUAUGAUUUGUAGUCGAUGUAACUUGCAGUAAAAAGUAUGUGGUAAAAA